rnacentral:rRNA from 1 species
UGUGUAGGCGGUUUGGUAAGUCUGGUGUGAAAUCUCCCGGCUCAACUGGGAGGGUGCGCCGGAAACUGCCGGACUCGAGUGCGGGAGAGGAAAGUGGAAUUCCUGGUGUAGCGGUGAAAUGCGUAGAUAUCAGGAGGAACACCGGUGGUGUAGACGGCUUUCUGGACCGUAACUGACGCUGAAACACGAAAGCGUGGGUAGCAAACAGGAUUAGAUACCCUGGUAGUCCACGCCCUAAACGAUGCACAUUUGGUGUGGGUCAUUCAGUUGAUCCGUGCCGGAGCUAACGCGUUAAAUGUGCCGCCUGGGGAGUACAGUCGCAAGGCUAGAA